UACAGAGGGGGCAAGCGUUAUUCGGAAUUAUUGGGCGUAAAGGGCGCGUAGGCGGCAUGGCAAGUGGAUGGUGAAAUCCCUCGGCUUAACCGAGGAACUGCCGUCCAAACUGCUUCGCUUGAGACCGGGAGAGGUGAGUGGAAUUCCCAGUGUAGCGGUGAAAUGCGUAGAUAUUGGGAGGAACACCAGUGGCGAAGGCGGCUCACUGGACCGAUACUGACGCUGAGACGCGAAAGCGUGGGGAGCAAACAGG
rnacentral:rRNA from 1 species